rnacentral:rRNA from 1 species
GGCGAACGGGUGAGUAACACGUGGGUAAUCUGCCCUGCACUUCGGGAUAAGCCUGGGAAACUGGGUCUAAUACCGGAUAUUCAGCUUCUGCCGCAUGGUGGUGGUUGGAAAGUUUUUCGGUGCAGGAUGAGCCCGCGGCCUAUCAGCUUGUUGGUGGGGUAAUGGCCUACCAAGGCGACGACGGGUAGCCGGCCUGAGAGGGUGAUCGGCCACACUGGGACUGAGACACGGCCCAGACUCCUACGGGAGGCAGCAGUGGGGAAUAUUGCACAAUGGGCGAAAGCCUGAUGCAGCGACGCCGCGUGGGGGAUGACGGUCUUCGGAUUGUAAACCCCUUUCAGUAGGGACGAAGCGCAAGUGACGGUACCUGCAGAAGAAGCACCGGCCAACUACGUGCCAGCAGCCGCGGUAAUACGUAGGGUGCGAGCGUUGUCCGGAAUUACUGGGCGUAAAGAGCUCGUAGGCGGUUUGUCGCGUCGUCCGUGAAAACUCGGAGCUUAACUCCGAGCUUGCGGGCGAUACGGGCAGACUUGAGUACUACAGGGGAGACUGGAAUUCCUGGUGUAGCGGUGAAAUGCGCAGAUAUCAGGAGGAACACCGGUGGCGAAGGCGGGUCUCUGGGUAGUAACUGACGCUGAGGAGCGAAAGCAUGGGUAGCGAACAGGAUUAGAUACCCUGGUAGUCCAUGCCGUAAACGGUGGGCGCUAGGUGUGGGGUCCUUCCACGGAUUCCGUGCCGUAGCUAACGCAUUAAGCGCCCCGCCUGGG